rnacentral:rRNA from 1 species
GCUGGUUCUCCGCGAAAUAGCUUUAGGGCUAGCCUCGGAUUACUAUUUUACAGGGGUAGAGCACUGAUUGGGCUAGCGGGCCUCGCGGCUUAGUAAACCCUGACAAACUUCGAAUACUGUAAAAACUAUACCGGGAGUCAGACGGUGACAGAUAAGUGCCAUCGUCAAGAGGGAAACAGCCCAGACUACUGUCUAAGGUCCCUAAUUAACAACUAAGUGGAAAAGGAUGUGGGAUUGCUGAGACAACCAGGAGGUUGGCUUAGAAGCAGCCAUUCCUUGAAAGAGUGCGUAAUAGCUCACUGGUCAAGCGAACCUGCGCCGAAAAUUCAACGGGGCUAAAGUUGUUAACCGAAGACGUAGAAUUACAAUGUAAUUGGUAGCGGAGCGUUCUGUAUGUCGCUGAAGGUGAAGUGUGAGCUUUGCUGGAGAUAUCAGAAGUGAAAAUGUUGGUAUGAGUAACGUAAGGAAGAUGAAAACUCUUCCCGCCGAAAACCCAAGGUUUCCUACGCAACGGCAGUCGACGUAGGGUUAGUCGGUCCUAAGGUGUAACCGAGAGGUGAAGCUGAUGGAUAUCAGGUUAAUAUUCCUGAACUACUAAUAUAUAUCUAAGGGGGGACAUAUCGGGAUAUAGGAGAUGCUGAAUGAUUUGCAUUACGAACGUAAGAUUUGAGACAUAGGAAAAUCCGUGUUUCUUUAAGAUCGAGCUAAGUUACGUUGAUGUUGUUAGCUUGCUAAUGACAGAUACUGCUCCUACUAUAUUCGGGUAUCGAGAAAAGCCUCUAUGAUUUAGUAUAUUAGUAACCGUACCGCAAACGAACACUCGUGGGUAGGUGGAGAACACUAAGGCGAACGAGAUAACUAUGGUUAAGGAACUCGGCAAAACAGCGGUCGUAACUUCGGGAUAAGACCUGCCUCGCUUCUAAUUUAGAAACGAGGCCGCAGCGAAAGAGCUCAGGCGACUGUUUACCAAAAACACAGCUCUCUGCAAACUCGUAAGAGGAUGUAUAGGGGGUGAUGCCUGCCCAGUGCCAGAAGGUUACGUGGAUGAGUGCAAGCUCUGAAACUAAGCCCUGGUGAACGGCGGCCGUAACUAUAACGGUCCUAAGGUAGCGAAAUUCCUUGUCGGGUAAGUUCCGACCCGCACGAAUGGCAUAACGGUCUGAGCACUGUCUCAAGCAUAGACUCGGUGAAAUUGCAAUGUCGGUAAAAAUGCCGACUACCUGCAGCAAGACGGAAAGACCCUAUGGAGCUUUACUACAGCUUGGUAUUGGGUUAUGAUUUAAGAUGUGCAGAAUAGGUGGGAGACUUUGAAGUAGAGACGCAAGUAGCUAUGGAGUCACCUUUGAGAUACCACCCUUCUUAAAUUGUAACUCUAACUCCUAAAUUGGA